rnacentral:rRNA from 1 species
GGUGUAGGCGUGCCCCUUAGGCAAAUCCGGGGGGCUGAGCUGAGGCGUGAUGACGAGGAACCACGGUUCCGAAGUGAUUGAUACCAAGCUUCCAGGAAAAGCCACUAAGCUUCAGUCUAGAGUUGACCGUACCGCAAACCGACACAGGUGGGCAGGAUGAAAAUUCUAAGGCGCUUGAGAGAACUCAGGAGAAGGAACUCGGCAAAUUAACACCGUAACUUCGGGAGAAGGUGUGCCCCGGUAGCGUGUAGAGACUUGCUCUCGAAGCGCGAUGGGGUUGCAGUGAAAUGGUGGCUGCGACUGUUUAAUAAAAACACAGCACUCUGCAAACACGAAAGUGGACGUAUAGGGUGUGACGCCUGCCCGGUGCCGGAAGGUUAAGUGAUGGGGUGCAAGCUCUUGAUCGAAGCCCCGGUAAACGGCGGCCGUAACAAUAACGGUCCUAAGGUAGCGAAAUUCCUUGUCGGGUAAGUUCCGACCUGCACGAAUGGCGUAACGAUGGCCACACUGUCUCCUCCUGGGACUCAGCGAAGUUGAAAUGUUUGUGAAGAUGCAAUCUACCCGCGGCUAGACGGAAAGACCCCAUGAACCUUUACUGUAGCUUUGCAUUGGACUUUGAACCGGUUUGUGUAGGAUAGGUGGGAGACUGUGAAGCCGGGACGCUAGUUUCGGUGGAGUCAACCUUGAAAUACCACCCUGAUUUGUUUGAGGUUCUAACCUUGGUCCGUGAAUCCGGAUCGGGGACCGUGCAUGGUAGGCAGUUUGACUGGGGCGGUCUCCUCCCAAAAGGUAACGGAGGAGUACGAAGGUACGCUUAGGUCGGUCGGACAUCGCCCACAAAGUGCAAUGGCAAAAGCGUGCUUGACUGCGAGACCCACAAGUCGAGCAGGUACGAAAGUAGGUCAUAGUGAUCCGGUGGUUCUGUAUGGAAGGGCCAUCGCUCAACGGAUAAAAGGUACUCUGGGGAUAACAGGCUAAUUCCUCCCAAGAGUUCAUAUCGACGGGGGAGUUUGGCACCUCGAUGUCCGCUCAUCACAUCCUGGGGCUGUAGUCGGUCCCAAGGGUAUGGCUGUUCGCCAUUUAAAGUGGUACGCGAGCUGGGUUUAAAACGUCGUGAGACAGUUUGGUCCCUAUCUGCCGUGGGCGCUGGAAAUUUGAAGGGGGCUGCUCCUAGUACGAGAGGACCGGAGUGGACGAACCUCUGGUGUACCGGUUAUGACGCCAGUCGUAUCGCCGGGUAGCUAAGUUCGGAAGAGAUAAACGCUGAAAGCAUCUAAGCGUGAAACUCGCCUUAAGAUAAGAUUUCCCGGAGUCUUGAACUCCCUGAAGGGUCGUCGAAGACCACGACGUUGAUAGGUCAGGUGUGGAAGCGCAGCAAUGCGUUAAGCUAACUGAUACUAAUUGCCCGUGUGGCUUGAUCCU